UGACUGAAGACCCUCCCUUGUGUUGUGGUA
rnacentral:piRNA from 1 species